AUUGAACGCUGGCGGCAGGCCUAACACAUGCAAGUCGAGCGGAUGACGGGAGCUUGCUCCUUGAUUCAGCGGCGGACGGGUGAGUAAUGCCUAGGAACCUGCCUGGUAGUGGGGGACAACGUUUCGAAAGGAACGCUAAUACCGCAUACGUCCUACGGGAGAAAGCAGGGGACCUUCGGGCCUUGCGCUAUCAGAUGAGCCUAGGUCGGAUUAGCUAGUUGGUGGGGUAAUGGCUCACCAAGGCGACGAUCCGUAACUGGUCUGAGAGGAUGAUCAGUCACACUGGAACUGAGACACGGUCCAGACUCCUACGGGAGGCAGCAGUGGGGAAUAUUGGACAUUGGGCGAAAGCCUGAUCCAGCCAUGCCGCGUGUGUGAAGAAGGUCUUCGGAUUGUAAAGCACUUUAAGUUGGGAGGAAGGGCAGUAAGUUAAUACCUUGCUGUUUUGACGUUACCGACAGAAUAAGCACCGGCUAACUCUGUGCCAGCCGCCGCCGUAA
rnacentral:rRNA from 1 species